rnacentral:rRNA from 1 species
UCACACUAUCAUUAACUGAAUCCAUAGGUUAAUGAGGCGAACCGGGGGAACUGAAACAUCUAAGUACCCCGAGGAAAAGAAAUCAACCGAGAUUCCCCCAGUAGCGGCGAGCGAACGGGGAGGAGCCCAGAGCCUGAAUCAGCAUGUGUGUUAGUGGAAGCGUCUGGAAAGGCGCGCGAUACAGGGUGACAGCCCCGUACACAAAAGCGCAUGUGUUGUGAGCUCGAUGAGUAGGGCGGGACACGUGGUAUCCUGUCUGAAUAUGGGGGGACCAUCCUCCAAGGCUAAAUACUCCUGACUGACCGAUAGUGAACCAGUACCGUGAGGGAAAGGCGAAAAGAACCCCGGCGAGGGGAGUGAAAAAGAACCUGAAACCGUGUACGUACAAGCAGUGGGAGCACCCUUUGGGGUGUGACUGCGUACCUUUUGUAUAAUGGGUCAGCGACUUAUAUUCUGUAGCAAGGUUAACCGAAUAGGGGAGCCGGAGGGAAACCGAGUCUUAAUUGGGCGUUAAGUUGCAGGGUAUAGACCCGAAACCCGGUGAUCUAGCCAUGGGCAGGUUGAAGGUUGGGUAACACUAACUGGAGGACCGAACCGACUAAUGUUGAAAAAUUAGCGGAUGACCUGUGGCUGGGGGUGAAAGGCCAAUCAAACCGGGAGAUAGCUGGUUCUCCCCGAAAGCUAUUUAGGUAGCGCCUCGUGAAUUCAUCUCCGGGGGUAGAGCACUGUUUCGGCUAGGGGGCCAUCCCGGCUUACCAACCCGAUGCAAACUGCGAAUACCGGAGAAUGUUAUCACGGGAGACACACGGCGGGUGCUAACGUCCGUCGUGAAGAGGGAAACAACCCAGACCGCCAGCUAAGGUCCCAAAGUCAUGGUUAAGUGGGAAACGAUGUGGGAAGGCCCAGACAGCCAGGAUGUUGGCUUAGAAGCAGCCAUCAUUUAAAGAAAGCGUAAUAGCUCACUGGUCGAGUCGGCCUGCGCG